rnacentral:rRNA from 1 species
GAUGAACGCUGGCGGCGUGCCUAAUACAUGCAAGUCGAGCGAACGGACGAGAAGCUUGCUUCUCUGAUGUUAGCGGCGGACGGGCGAGUAACACGUGGAUAACCUACCUAUAAGACUGGGAUAACUUCGGGAAACCGGAUCUAAUACCGGAUAAUAUUUUGAACCGCAUGGUUCAAAAGUGAAAGACGGUCUUUCUGUCACUUAUAGCUGGAUCCGCGCUGCAUUAGCUAGUUGGUAAGGUAACGGCUUACCAAGGCAACGAUGCAUAGCCGACCUGAGAGGGUGAUAGGCCACACUGGAACUGAGACACGGUCCAGACUACUACGGGAGGCAGCAGUAGGGAAUCUUACGCAAUGGGCGAAAGCAUGACGGAGCAACGCCGCGUGAGUGAUGACGGUCUUCGGAUCGUAAAACUCUGUUAUUAGGGAAGAACAGAUGUGUAAGUAAAUGUGCACAUCUUGACGGUACCUAAUCAGAAAGCCACGGCUAACUACGUG